AGCUUAAAACCCNNAGGACUUGACGGUNCCCCAUAUCCCCCNAAGAGGAGCCUGUCCUAUAACCGAUAAUCCCCGUUUAACCUCACCAUUUCUAGCUAAAACAGCCUGUAUACCUCCGUCGUCAGCUCACCGCNUGAGCGUCAGCNAGCCUAAUNUUAAUUCAACUACNCUUCNGGUCAAGGUGCAACAUAUGUAANGGGAAAAGAUGGGCUACACUCUCUAAUUUAAAAUAUACAAAAAACUACUUAUNAAAUCUANUCAAAAGGUGGAUUUANAAUUAAAACGGAACAAAAAAUUCCUUUUUAACAUGGGCACUGGGGUNUNUACACNCCGCCCGUC
rnacentral:rRNA from 1 species